CUGUCUUUUUGAGACAGGGUCUCACUAUGCAGUUCAGGCUGGCCUUGAGCUCACUUUGUAACCCAAGCUGGUCCUGAACUCACAAUGAUUCUCCUGCUUUAGCCUCCCGAGUGCUGGGAUUACAGGUGUGUGCCACUGCGCCUGGCUUUGCCGUAGUAUUUUAAACAAGAUCGCAGACGUCACGCACACCCAGCUUUCAGUUUAGUUUGAAAUCUAAGUUUCUCCCUCCGUUUUCCCCUUCCACGACUCUGGCUAGCUGGAAAGCAGCAGUAUGUCCUAGAGAAUGUCCUGUGUUCAGACUGAUCUGUCUCUUCUGGAUGGAGUUUAGUAAAUGUUUUCAGCAUCCAGUAGUGCCCUAACCAGGGUGGUGGGCUCAGCAGAAUGGGAGACAGGUGUCUGAUGCAGCCACCUUUUCAUGGGGCGAGGGUUAGACUGGAUGCCUCCCCUCAGCGGUGGCUCCAUGAUGUAAGGCUGCUCUGUGGAUUGCAGGAUGGCUAGUUCCGUGCCUGGCCUUGACCCGUCAGGUCCCAGGACUGACGUGGUCAUCAGAAAUGCUCUGUGCAUUUCUGAGUGUCUCAGGGCGGGGGAGUGCCUGUGACUGAGGACCACUGGAUUUGAUAGUAAUAGGCCAGAUGUGGACAACUAAAUCGACUAAUUCCAGAGAGCAAAAGAUACCCUAGGAAAACGGGACCAAGUGACUUCAUAGAAAACGUCAGGCAGCAGUUGAGAGCAUCCUCUCUGAAGAGAGGACGUGUGUGAUCUGCAGGAAAUGAGCCACAGACAGGAGCAGUGAAUGACAAAAGGGACAGCUUUGCAAAGAUUUAAUAUGAGAAGGCAAAAAGGAGGAGCCGCGUGGCCAGGGGAGGGUGAAUGCACGGAGAGCGAAGGGGUGAAGGAGAGCGGGGAUGGCGCAGCUACAGCGUGGGCCAGGGCACAGGGCACAGGGCACAGGGCACAGGGCACAGGCCGACCCUUGAGAGCCGGGUGGGCCUGGAGACCCGAGCCUUGCAGCAGCCUGGCGCCUAGCUCGGAGGAGACCUGCGCUUCUGUGUGUCGCUGGCGCCCUCUGGAGUGUGAGGAGGUGCAGGGACACUGCUGGGAUUACUCUGAGAAGAGCGGAGGCCAGGGCUGGACCAAGGGGCUCGCCACAGAGGUGGGCUGGAUUCCGCUCGUGGCCGGGACGCUUUGCUGAUAUAAGGACAGUACUGGGGACAGAGGAGAGCGGAAGUGAACAGGCAGCCCCGCGUGGAGUUCCGGAUGACUGGCGGUUACCUGAAGACCCAGCCCCUAGUGGGCAUCUGCUUUGUCGUGUUACUGGCUCUGUUUUUCUUCUUCGUCAUGGUGAUCUCGUGAGUCAUUCCUGCCCCUUCCUGAGUCCCCCAGUGCCCCCUGGCGUCCCUGAAAACUGGCACCUCCCAGAUGGGUCACUGCGUCCCCCCCACACCCCAGUCCUCUGUGUGUUCCUCCCUCCCUCCCUCCCCGCCUCCCUCAGUCCCCUGUCUUUCUCAUCUAUCACUUUCUUUUUCCUCUCUUCUUCCUCUCACCCCAGUCAUUUCCCAAAAUCCUCAGCAAUCUUCCCUGCUUCUAUGAAAA